UACGUAGGUGGCAAGCGUUGUCCGGAUUUACUGGGCGUAAAGAGCGCGCAGGCGGUCGGAUCAGUCGAAUGUGAAAGCCCCCGGCUCAACUGGGGAGGGUCAUUCGAUACUGUCCGACUCGAAGGCAGGAGAGGGAAGCGGAAUUCCCGGUGUAGUGGUGAAAUGCGUAGAUAUCGGGAGGAACACCAGUGGCGAAGGCGGCCCCCUGGGCCGCUCCUGACGCUGAGACGCGAAGGCCAGGGUAGCGAACGGG
rnacentral:rRNA from 1 species